UGUUGCUUGCAAGGGCGUAUGGUGGAUGCCUUGGCAGACAGGACCGAUGAAGGACGUUUGAGGCUGCGAUAUGCCUCGGGGAGCCGCCAACAGGGCUUUGAUCCGAGGAUUUCCGAAUGGGGGAACCCACCGACCGUCAUGGGUCGGUACCGGCUUCGGCCGGGGGGUACGCAGGGAAGUGAAACAUCUCAGUACCUGCAGGAAAGGAUAUUCCGUGAGUAGUGGCGAGCGAAAGCGGAUGAUGGCCAAACCUUGCGCGUGUGAUACCCGUCGGGGGUUGCGCGCGGGGUGUUGCGGGAUCGCGUGCGCCGGCUCCGACGGGCCGGCCGGCAGUUGCAGAAAACCAUGUGUCAGGGGAACCGGGUUGAAUACCGGGCCGCAGAGGGUGAGGGCCCCGUACCUGAACGCGCAUGGUCUGCCGAUCGCGUCUCCCAAGUAGCACGGGUCCCGUGGAACCCCGUGCGAAUCCGCCCAGACCGUUGGGUAAGCCUGAAUAUUCCUGUCUGACCGAUAGCGAACGAGUACCGUGAGGGAAAGGUGAAAAGUACCCCGGGAGGGGAGUGAAACAGUCUCUGAAACCGUGCGCCUACAAUCCGUCGGAGCCCUUUUGUGGGGUGACGGCGUGCCUAUCGAAAAAUGAGUCUGCGAGUCAGUGGCAUGUGGCGAGCAUAACCCGUGUGGGGUAUGCGUAGCGAAGGCGAGUCUUAAAAGGCGUUUGAGUCGCGUGUCCUGGACCCGAAGCGGGAUGAUCUAGCCCUGAGCAGGUUGAAGCGCGGGUAAGACCGCGUGGAGGACCGAACCCACCUGGGUUGAAAACCGGGGGGAUGACUUGGGGCUAGGGGUGAAAGGCCAAUCAAAUUCCGUGAUAGCUGGUUCUCUCCGAAAUGCAUUUGGGUGCAGCGUCGGGUCAUUACGUCCCGGGGGUAGAGCUACUGGAUGCUUGCGGGCCCGUAUCGGGUACCAACAGCAACCAAACUCCGAAUACCGGUGACGCGUAUCCCGGCAGUGAGUCGGCGGGGGAUAAGCUUCGUCGUCGAAAGGGAAACAGCCCAGACCGUCGUCUAAGGUCCCGAAGCGUGUGCUAAGUGGGAAAGGAUGUGGAGUCGCAUAGACAGCCAGGAGGUUGGCUCAGAAGCAGCCACCCUUGAAAGAGUGCGUAACAGCUCACUGGUCUAGUGGUUCCGCGCCGACAAUGUAGCGGGGCUCAAGCACACCACCGAAGACGCGGCAGUAUUUUGUACUGGGUAGGAGAGCGUCCCAUGAGGGGCGAAGCGGCCGUGUGAACGCGCCGUGGACUUCAUGGGAGUGAGAAUGCAGACAUGAGUAGCGAGAGACGGGUGAAGAUCCCGUCCGCUGGAUGACCAAGGGUUCCAGGGCCACGUUCAUCGUCCCUGGGUGAGUCGGGUCCUAAGGCGAGGCCGACAGGCGUAGUCGAAUGGAUGAACGGGUCGAUAUUCCCGUACCGGCUUUCAGCCGCCAAAACCGAGGCUUGGAGUACUAACCUCCGGGUCCGGGCUUACUGCUCCUUCGGGGGCGGGAUGCCCUGGCCUGUUGGGACCGAUCCUUGUAGUAGGUCAGCGCAGGAGUGACGCAGAAGGGUAGCCGGCCGCGGAGGUGGUCUUCCGUGGUCAAGCACGCAGGGCGUGGGACAGGCAAAUCCGUCCCGCAUGGGUCCGAGGUGCGAUGAUGGGGGCCUUAUGGCCCGAUAUCCGGUGAUCCCGGCUGCCGAGAAAAGCUUCGGCGUCAGGCUCAAAGCCGCCCGUACCCCAAACCGACACUGGUGGUCAGGUAGAGAAUACCAAAGCGAUCGAGCGAAUCCUGGUCAAGGAACUCGGCAAAUCACUCCCGUUCCUUCGGUUUAAGGGAGACCCCCGAUGGUGAACACACUUGCUGUGGGAGCUUUUGGGGGUGGCACAGACCAGGGGGUAGCGACUGUUUACCAAAAACACAGGUGCAUGCGAAGGCGAAAGCCGCUGUAUAUGCACUGACGCCUGCCCGGUGCCGGAAGGUUAAGAGGAUCCGUCAGCCUUCGGGUGAAGCGGUGAAUUCAAGCCCCGGUAAACGGCGGUGGUAACUAUAACCAUCCUAAGGUAGCGAAAUUCCUUGUCGGGUAAGUUCCGACCUGCACGAAUGGCGUA
rnacentral:rRNA from 1 species